CCCGGAAGUAGCAGUCUUGGCCACAACCGCAGUGUUGGAACCACUCGAGGGAGGAUGAGGGGCACAACGGAGGAAGCGGCGCCCGACCAGAUAUCCGAGCUGCAAGCCCCUGAACCGCAGCCUCCACAGAGGAGAUCCCGACCCUGUAGGCCUAGAAAUUAUAUGACCUCACUCUGCAUUGAGUUGAAAGAAGAAACCAGAAUGUUGGGGUAUGUCGUAUCAGGAGUUUUUGCAAUAGGAGCAGAGAAGACACAUUCUCCAAAAUUGGUAAGAAUUAUUGAAGCAACUUGAAAAAUAAAAAUUUUGCUUGUCAAAAACAAGGAUAUAAAUAAGGAGGGUAUAUCAUUGCCUCUUAAGCAGUAGAAAUGUAUUCAAAAUACUGAAAUCUAA
rnacentral:lncRNA from 1 species